UCUAAAUGACAUACCAUAUGUGAAAGAACUGAAUGAUGAUCAGUUGGAGAAAUUGAUGAGUAGAUUUGAUGAAUUUGAUCUUGUUGUCAGUGG